rnacentral:rRNA from 1 species
AACGAACGCUGGCGGCAGGCUUAACACAUGCAAGUCGAACGCCCCGCAAGGGGAGCGGCAGACGGGUGAGUAACGCGUGGGAAUCUACCGAGCCCUAAGGAAUAGCUCCGGGAAACUAGAAUUAAUACCUUAUACGCCCUUCGGGGGAAAGAUUUAUCGGGGUUUGAUGAGCCCGCGUUGGAUUAGCUAGUUGGUGGGGUAAAGGCCUACCAAGGCGACGAUCCAUAGCUGGUCUGAGAGGAUGAUCAGCCACAUUGGGACUGAGACACGGCCCAAACUCCUACGGGAGGCAGCAGUGGGGAAUAUUGGACAAUGGGCGCAAGCCUGAUCCAGCCAUGCCGCGUGAGUGAUGAAGGCCCUAGGGUUGUAAAGCUCUUUCACCGGUGAAGAUAAUGACGGUAACCGGAGAAGAAGCCCCGGCUAACUUCGUGCCAGCCGCCGCAGUAAUAC